rnacentral:rRNA from 1 species
AUGGGAACGCGAAGAACCUUACCUACUCUUGACAUCCAGAGAACUUUCCAGAGAUGGAUUGGUGCCUUCGGGAACUCUGAGACAGGUGCUGCAUGGCUGUCGUCAGCUCGUGUGUGAAUGUUGGGUUAAGUCCGCAACGAGCGCAACCGUUAUCCUUGUUGCCAGCGGUUAGGCCGGGAACUCAAAGGAGACUGCCAGUGAUAAACUGGAGGAAGGUGGGGAUGACGUCAAGUCAUCAUGGCCCUUACGACCAGGGCUACACACGUGCUACAAUGGCAUAUACAAAGAGAAGCGACCUCGCGAGAGCAAGCGGACCUCAUAAAGUAUGUCGUAGUCCGGAUUGGAGUCUGCAACUCGACUCCAUGAAGUCGGAAUCGCUAGUAAUCGUAGAUCAGAAUGCUACGGUGAAUACGUUCCCGGGUCUUGUACACACCGAGUCGUGGGAGGCAAGGGCACGACAGGGGGGGAUA